rnacentral:rRNA from 1 species
AUGGAGGUCGCCAUAAAGAGAAUGUCACAUGAUUCAAGGCAAGGAGUAAGGGAGUUCAUUGCUGAGGUGGUGAGCAUUGGUCACCUUCGACACCAAAAUAUCACGCAAUUGUUCGGCUACUGUAGGCGUAAGGGUGAACUUCUCCUGGGUUAUGACUAUAUGAAAAAUGGCAGCCUUGACAAGUACCUAAAAGAAUGGGAGCAUGUGGUCAUCCACCGAGAUAUAAAGCCAAGCAAUGUGCUCUUGGAUAGUCAGAUGAAUGGGCAGUUAGGUGAUUUUGCUCUUGCAAGGAUAUAUGACCAUGAAACAGCCACUCCAGACACCCAUGUGACUGGUACCAUUGGAUAUCUAGCACCAGAACUUGCGCGCAUGGGGAGGCCAACGCCCUUCACCGACGUAUACGCAUUUGGCAUGUUUCUCCUGGAGGUCACAUGUGGUCGUAAACCAAUCUUCACCGAUGAGCAAAAUAAUCAGUUAUUGUUGGUAGAGUGGGUGCUUGAGCACCAUCGGGGUGGCUCAAUCGUCGACACGGUAGAUCCACGUCUCCAAGCGAAAUUCAACAUGGAGGAGCGGGCGGCCGGCUUCCCACUAGCGCGAUCGAGCGACUGGCCGAAAAAGGUAACCCCUAGUCCCCCGCGCAACAAAAAAGGAAGGGGCCACCAUCCCGACCGAUCGGGCGGCCACCAAAAGAGACCAAUCGAGCAUCCACCAACAAAAUCGCCCCCCCACCCUCACAUGGCUAGCUGCCUUCUUCUUCUUCUGCACGCUAGAAGGAGGGACAUCCAACAGAAUCGCCCCCAGCCCUUCUUUCUCCUCCUACACAGUCGCCAUGGGAGCCCCAAACAAAAUCUGAAUAAGUUCCUUGCCAAUGGAAACCCUGCGGAUCAUUGCAACAAAAGCAGAGGAAAAAGUCUGUGUGAGUGUGUGGCAGCAUCAAAAAAAAGAAAAAAGAUGCUUGAUCUCAAUGAGUUGCCUCCUGAUCUCAAUGAGCUUCCUCAUGAUACGGAUCAGCAGCAACCCAACAUACCACAAGGAAACUGGACAGAAAAUGUUCGAUUUGUUUACUACACGCAGGCAAGUCAUGGUGGAAACCCUAUGGGCCAUGACAAUGUGGCAGGCCAGCCAUCAACCCGUGGUGCCCCUGUAGUGGUGUCUUUGUAG